UUGUGUCGUUGAUUGGUAUCCAUACAUC
rnacentral:sRNA from 1 species